GUGGUGAUGAAGUUUUGUCCCUGAUUGCAAGUGAUGUGCAUUUUCUUUGUCCUCUAAGAAGUACUGAACAG